GCUUUCGGCCAUACCAUCCUGAACAUGCUUGAUCUCGUCUGAUCUUGGGAGCUAUGCAAGGUCAGGUCUGGUUAGUACUUGGAUGGGAGAGUGCUUGGGAAGCUUUUCUUCCCCUCAAAAACAGCAGGGGGCGCUGCU
rnacentral:rRNA from 1 species